GUUCCCAAUGAUGUUGAAGAAACCAUGCUAAUACUGAAAUAUAUUGAUGAUUAAUAUAUAUGCUGAGGGAAUU